rnacentral:pre_miRNA from 15 species
CUAAACUACAAAGAUGCAAAGGUUUCAGUGAACAUUCAACGCUGUCGGUGAGUUUUCUCAAUAAGGUUAAACCAUCGACCGUUGAGUGUACCCUGCGGCCGGAUUAGCAGCAGCUGAAUUGA